rnacentral:tRNA from 1 species
GGUGGGUUGGCUCAGUGGUUAGAGCGUAGGUCUUGUAACCAAAAGGUUGCGAGAUCGAAUUUAUUUCUGGUUU